rnacentral:rRNA from 1 species
ACUGAACGCUGGCGGCAGGCCUAACACAUGCAAGUCGAGCGGAUGAAGGGGGCUUGCUCCCUGAUUUAGCGGCGGACGGGUGAGUAAUGCCUAGGAAUCUGCCUGGUAGUGGGGGAUAACGUUCCGAAAGGAACGCUAAUACCGCAUACGUCCUACGGGAGAAAGCAGGGGACCUUCGGGCCUUCCGCUAUCAGAUGAGCCUAGGUCGGAUUAGCUAGUUGGUGAGGUAAUGGCUCACCAAGGCGACGAUCCGUAACUGGUCUGAGAGGAUGAUCAGUCACACUGGAACUGAGACACGGUCCAGACUCCUACGGGAGGCAGCAGUGGGGAAUAUUGGACAAUGGGCGAAAGCCUGAUCCAGCCAUGCCGCGUGUGUGAAGAAGGUCUUCGGAUUGUAAAGCACUUUAAGUUGGGAGGAAGGGCAUUAACCUAAUACGUUAGUGUUUUGACGUUACCGACAGAAUAAGCACCGGCUAACUUCGUGCCAGCCGCCGCGGUAACAC